rnacentral:scRNA from 1 species
GACCACGGCUACCUCAAGAGCGUGUUGAAAUC